UGGGCGUAAAGCGCGCGCAGGCGGCUAUCCAAGUCAGUGGUGAAAGCCCGGAGCUCAACUCCGGAACUGCCCUUGAAACUGCAGCGCUAGAAUCUUGGAGAGGCGAGUGGAAUUCCGAGUGUAGAGGUGAAAUUCGUAGAUAUUCGGAAGAACACCAGUGGCGAAGGCGACUCGCUGGACAAGUAUUGACGCUGAGGUGCGAAAGCGUGGGGAGCAAACAGG
rnacentral:rRNA from 1 species